AUGAACGCUGGCGGCAGGCUUAAUACAUGCAAGUCGAACGGUAACAUGUCGGAGCAAUCUGAUGAUGACGAGUGGCGCACGGGUGCGUAACGCGUAUGCAACCUACCCAUAACCGGAACAUAACGUUGAGAGAUCGGCGCUAAUAUUCCAUGUGUAUAUUUUUGUGGCAUCAUAGGAUAUAUAAAGAUUAAUUGGUUAUGGAUGGGCAUGCGUAUCAUUAGCUAGUUGGUAGGGUAACGGCCUACCAAGGCUGCGAUGAUUAGGGGUUCUGAGAGGAUAACCCCCCACACUGGAACUGAGACACGGUCCAGACUCCUACGGGAGGCAGCAGUAGGGAAUAUUGGGCAAUGGAGGCAACUCUGACCCAGCCAUGCCGCGUGAAGGAAAGACGGUCCUAUGGAUUGUAAACUUCUUUUAUCAUAGAGUAACCGCAGGGACGUGUCCCUGCCUGCAAGUAUAUGAUGAAUAAGCAUCGGCUAACUCCGUGCCAGCCGCCGC
rnacentral:rRNA from 1 species